CAUAUCUUUAUGUUGCCUUUAUGCAUGAGAGACAAGUGAUUAGGAUGCCAAAUUAUUAGCUCACUGAAUUUUUCUUUCAGAAUACAAUUGGUUGUUAAAUAUUGGGCCAGUCCAGUUUUUAUUAUUUGUAGGUAACCUGUUUUCUUGCUUCUCCUGGUGCUUUUAAAAUGUUUUCUUUAUCCCAGUAAACCAAAUAUUCGUCAUGAUGUGCUUUGAUAUGGGCCUCUAUUGAUUUCUCAUGGAAUGUGGUGAUUGCAUUCAAAUUGCAUUC
rnacentral:lncRNA from 1 species